rnacentral:rRNA from 1 species
AAGACGACGUAUACGGCGUGACGCCUGCCCGGUGACUGGAAGGUUAAGAGGAGGAGUCAGCGCAAGCAAAGCUCCGAAUCGAAGCCCCAGUAAACGGCGGCCGUAACAAUAACGGUCCUAAGGUAGCGAAAUUCCUUGUCGGGUAAGUUCCGACCUGCACGAAUGGCGUAACGACUUCCCCACUGUCUCGGGCAGGGACUCAGCGAAGUAGCACUGGGGGUGAAGAUACCCUCUACCCCACGGCAGGACGGAGAGACCCCGUGAACCUUCACUACAGUUUGACACUGAUUGACGAAAUUUUCUGCGUAGUCUAGGUGGGACGCUUUGAAGCCGGGAUUCUGGUCUCGGUGGAGCGGCAAUAUGAAAAACCACCCUGAAAAUUUUGGCAAUCUAACCUACACCCCUGAGCGGGGUGGGGGACACUGUCUGAUGGGUAGUUUGACUGGGGCGGUCGCCUCCCAAAGAGUAACGGAGGCGCGCGAAGGUCCCCUCAGCCUGAUUGGAAACCAGGCGCCGAGUGUAAUGGCAUAAGGGGG